rnacentral:tRNA from 1 species
UCUGGUUUAACAUAUACUAUCUUGUACAGCUUUUAAUAGCGUUGUUUUUUUUCAGUUUGUGUGAGCUUGUGAAAGCGUAUUUACA